GAGUUUGAUCCUGGCUCAGAUUGAACGCUGGCGGCAUGCCUUACACAUGCAAGUCGAACGGCAGCACGGGAGCUUGCUCCUGGUGGCGAGUGGCGAACGGGUGAGUAAUGCAUCGGAACGUAUCCUGGAGUGGGGGAUAACGUAGCGAAAGUUACGCUAAUACCGCAUAUUCUGUGAGCAGGAAAGCGGGGGACCUUCGGGCCUCGCGCUCUUGGAGCGGCCGAUGUCGGAUUAGCUAGUUGGUGAGGUAAAGGCUCACCAAGGCGACGAUCCGUAGCAGGUCUGAGAGGAUGAUCUGCCACACUGGAACUGAGACACGGUCCAGACUCCUACGGGAGGCAGCAGUGGGGAAUUUUGGACAAUGGGGGCAACCCGUGAUCCAGCCAUGCCGCGUGAGUGAAGAA
rnacentral:rRNA from 1 species